UACGUAGGGUGCGAGCGUUAAUCGGAAUUACUGGGCGUAAAGCGUGCGCAGGCGGUUUGUUAAGACAGAUGUGAAAUCCCCGGGCUUAACCUGGGAACUGCAUUUGUGACUGGCAAGCUAGAGUAUGGCAGAGGGGGGUAGAAUUCCACGUGUAGCAGUGAAAUGCGUAGAGAUGUGGAGGAAUACCAAUGGCGAAGGCAGCCCCCUGGGUCAAUACUGACGCUCAUGCACGAAAGCGUGGGGAGCAAACAGG
rnacentral:rRNA from 1 species